CGAACGCUGGCGGCGGGCUUAACACAUGCAAGUCGAACGUGAAGCCCGGGGCUUGCUCCGGGUGGAAAGUGGCGAACGGGUGCGUAACGCGUAGGCAACCUGCCCUCAAGUGGGGAAUAACCAUCGGAAACGGUGGCUAAUACCGCAUGAUGUCUUGUUUUCGCAUGGAGACGAGAUCAAAGCCUUGUGUGCUUGAGGAUGGGCCUGCGUCGGAUUAGCUAGUUGGUGAGGUAAUGGCUCACCAAGGCGACGAUCCGUAGCUGGUCUGAGAGGAUGAUCAGCCACACUGGCACUGAGACACGGGCCAGACUCCUACGGGAGGCAGCAGUGAGGAAUAUUGCGCAAUGGGCGAAAGCCUGACGCAGCCACGCCGCGUGGAGGAAGACACCCCUAUGGGGCGUAAACUCCUUUUAUACGAGAAGAAAUCCCCUACAUGUAGGGGCCUGACGGUAUCGUAUGAAUAAGCACCGGCUAACUCCGUG
rnacentral:rRNA from 1 species